rnacentral:lncRNA from 1 species
GUCAAGCUGUGUAGACCCUUAGGAGCUUGUCAUGUGGUUAAAUCAAGAUUCACUUGCACGUUCACUCACACAUGCUACUUCUACUCCAGAAGUACCAUCCACAUAUAUCCAUCCAUUUCCAUCUCCAGAACCACCCAAAAAUAUUCUACUCCUAAUCCGGGAGAGAAUAGCCAAAAACAUUCUCCUAUUUCUGUUUUUCCCUGUGAAAAAAAUGCUCAAGUUAUCUUGGUUACUACCACUUGCUAUAUUAUUUAAGGAGAUGAGUGCUCUAAAAAAAGAAAGAAUGCGAGGAAAUAAAAAGGGGCAAGUGCCCGGAACCUCGAAAGAAAAGAAAAGUGAGACGAGUGGUAAAAAUGGACAAGUGUCCGACAGUAGAAUUAGGGGUACAAGAUACCCACCUGAGAGAAAAAAAAGAGAGAAAAAGAAAAUAUAGAGCAUCUCAUUCUCCUCAAAAAGUUUCAAAAGAGCAAGAAAGGUAUGUAUCCCCUCAAAAGAGCAUAAGUAGAAUUAGACUUUCACCAUCGUUAUCACCAUCAUCACCAUACAUCAUUCAUUCGCCACACAUGCACAUCUUGAUUUGACUUAUUGACUUGUUCUUCUGCAUCCAUGGUUUGACUAUGCAAAAAAUGUCUUGUAAGUAUGUAUUAGCUGUCUCCCACCUAUGAGCUCCAGAUAUCAAAACCUUAUUAGAGUAGGGUGAGAGAGAAGGCAAUACCACUAUGCCUCAUACCAAAAAUACCACAUACUUUGAGAGAAGGCAUAUACCAUUACUGCCUUGGUAAGGAUCCAGAAAUACCACAAAAGAGAGACUAGAGAGAGUCAUACAAGGAAUCUCUGAGUUUUAUUUGAAAAUCUGCAAAAACUCGAGAGCUAUAGUUAAUCGAAGAACAAGAGACAUGGUGCUUGACUAGACUGUUCUAUCUUUUAACUACUCAAGACAGAAGUGACGGUUACAAGUCCCAUGGUGAAAGGUAAAUGAGUAAGUUUUAAGUCUUAACAGUUUACUCUAACCAGAGAUGAGAUCUUGUUUAAACGCAUGUGUAUCUUUAAGUUACGAAACCACUGCAGAAACUCUUGAGUUCAUCUUUGCUCAGGGACGAGCAAAGGUUAAGCUUGGGGGAGCUUGUUGACGGUCCUUAAUGCUCAUAUUUAACCAUCAACUAAUCAUGGAAAAGGAUCCAAAUGGAACCAACACCUAGACUUAGGGUUUUAUCUGACAGAAUUCCAUGAGUUUUGGUGUUUGUGUAUUUCUGCAGGGGGUUAUCAGGAAAUAUAAAAGAAAGGCCCACACGUCGGGUUUACAUAGAGAUAUUAACGUGCCGCGCAAUUUUAUAUCAUCUAGAAGACUCCAGAAGCCACGGGACCGAAGCGGAGGCCGAGAGGACACAGGGACAGGGCGCCCGCCCUCCUUUCCUGGGCGCCCGCCCUCAGCCAGAGUCCAAUCAGGACUCUCUUUCAGGAUAUUGCUCCACCGACCUAAAGGAUCAACAAUAACCGUUCAAUCAAUGUCGGUUUGAUCCGACGGCCUAGAUUCACUUGAAGGGACUAUAAAACUAGACCCCCUGGCCCCUGGAGAUCAUACCUCUUCUACAGAAUCAAAGCUAGGGUUUCAAUUCUUCAUCCAAGUAGAGAGGAUCCCUCUAGUUCUUCUAGUUCUAGUUCCUCUAGUUCUAGUUCUAGUUAGUUCUAGUUGUAAUCUAGAAAAUAGGGAGAGAGAAGAGGAGAGCGGAGGAGGAGCCGGAUCUGUCAGAUCUUCCUCAACAUUGUACUUUUGCAGCAUCUGGUUCGUUCUUCAUCGUUCUCCAGGUUCUUCAACUCAUAACUCCUGAGUUCUCUAAUUACUUUUAUUUACAUUCAAGUUAUUUAUUGGAUUCCCGCUUGCAUCAAGUGCUCUAAUCUUUGAAACAUUAGAGUAGUAAUUAAUAGAUUAGAUGUGGUGUUUAGUCAUGCAAUUACCUGGAAUUGCACCCAAUCCUGUGGAUUGUUGUGGUAGCCUUAGGGUAGUGACAGCCCUAACGGUCGACGUAUUCCACCUCGUUCGGAUCGGUGUUUGUAGGACCGUAGUUGGAGCUUCCUAGCCCCCUUCUCAUCUCUUUCUGUGGUUAGUGUUCUGAUGUCCUGAUAUAGAUAAUCUUGAAGUAAUUCUUGAUUCUUAGAUCAACUAGAGAACUCUCAGGAAACUUCUCUCUUCCCACCAAAAAUAAUUAUAUAAGUUAUCCUUGGGCGAUCUUGAUUCUUAAUUAGUACACUCACGUUCUCUGUGGAAAAUCGAUACUCUGGAAUACUCCCGGGUGAAAGCUACAUCGGUAUCCGUGCGCUUGCGGAUUUUUCUAUUUGCGUUUAAAAUACCCAACACUGAGGUCCUAUCUUUUAAUCAAAAAGAUAAUGCACUUUUAGCUACACCUAGGGAAUCUUUUAAUCUUUCUAUAAAUUCUGGUUUAGACCUAGCCCUACAAGACCAUGUUUUCCUAGAUAUUUUCACAUUGGUCUUAAUCAUAUAACCUUUGGUAGAGUCUUUCUUUCUUUAUCUAUUAGUAAAGGAAGGUAUGUCUUCAUUCGUAGACACCCUUCUUGCACUAGUCUUCAUAGAAAAAUCUUAGAGAUAGAGAAGGAAUCAUCUCCCAUACAAGGAGAGGAAGUUUCAAUAGCCGAUUUCCAAACAUUUCAAUCCCGUAAUUCGGCUAUCCAACCCAUCCUUGAGCUUAAUAAUUUCUACUAUGCUUUUUCUCUUGAACCUCCCGAUAAUCCUAUGAAUCUCUCUAGACAUCCCAUGCAUAAGAAGGAUGAUCGAGAAGAGCAACAUCAAUGGCUAGAGGACAUUAAAAAUCCAUGUGCUAUCACCAUUGAAUGGAUAGAUAAAACAAACUUGAGAGACAAUCCUAGAGGAAUUUUAAGCAUUCAUGAAGAAUCAUCCUUGGAGUUUAAGAAUGAGAGAAACAACAGUGAGCAUGGAAGUUAUUUCAUAAAUACCUCACCCGGUCCUUGCUCAUAUAAAACAUCUCUCCAAUCAAUUUGUCUCUCCAUCCUUACCACAUUUGAGAUCUGCAACCCCCUCUUCCUCUUCAUUUAUAAAAACUUUAAAAGGGCAGUUGUCGAUGCAUAUGUCUAUAAUAAAUAUUGCAGAUCUCGUUGAGUUGAUCUUGAUAUAGGUAGGUGUUGGAGGGGAAACCACUUCACCAACAUAACUUGAUGGUUUCCCAAGAACAAGCUUAGUGUCCUAAAACAAGCACCUAUCAGAUCACAACAUGAACUUCUAAUUAUUUGCAACAUUGCUUUGUGUAUUGAGCAUAUAAAGAUAAUUGUAGAAAUAUUCCUUCGGGUAUUCUUGUCACUAACCUUUCCAGGAUUGGAGCAAGAAGAUCGGAUGAAUGACAGGCACAGGGUAUGUCCAACCAACCAUCACACAACAUUGAAUUAAAUACAUCCAAACUUGAAUUUUGUAAAAUUCAAGCUUGGGGGAGUACUUUACAUAAAAACAUCUUUUGCCAUGUUGCUACGUUGGUUGUCCUUACCUUUGAGACAUGCUCAAUUUGUUAAAUACUAAUUACACUACUUCAUCUCCACUUAAGUAGAUCUAUAUAAAUGCUCUCAUGCUACAUUUAAUUGCUUUAGUAUAUGUCAAGGUUUGGAAUAGUUUCAUUUAUCUCUUAAUUAAGCAUGGUGCUUAGUUUAGGAAUGAUGAUCUUACUUCCAAGGGAUUUUAAAUUAAGCAUGGUGCUUAGGUUAAAAUGCCCUUCUAAAUCAAAUUAGACAUGGUGUCUAGGUUGAUUUUUAAGCCGAUAGUAUGCUAUAGUAGAUAGGGGAUAUUUUGUUGGACUAACCCCUGCAGGAAAACUUUCAAUAUCAACCUGGGAAGUCCUGAGAUAAACUCGCAUUGGAGAUGAAGAAAGUGACACAUGAAGUUUAACAAUUUGCACAAGAAAGACGUGGCUCAUAAGAGAUGAUUCAUGGAGGGUGCCACAAACACGAUGCACAACCGCUAAGAAAGGAAAGCUUCCACAGAUACUGUACCGUCACUCUUCAAGUAAGGUAACACCUUAAGGUACUUGACUAUCGCUUUUAUAAGUUUCUCCUUGGUUCUAGCAUUCACAUAAAUAAAGAGACAAACAUGUAUGAUUUAUAACUCCAGAUUAACCAACUCAAUUAAUUCAACAUGUUUAGUCCUUUAAUCUUUGUCCUUAGUACUACCCUUGUGAUCCCACGCUCCUAAACAUAUAAGCUAAUAUGUUGCACAUUCAAUAUUUGGAAGAUAUAAACAAAACGUAAAUAUAGAUAGAUUAUCUUUCCAUUAGGUUGAGCCAUCUGAUCUAACAAAUGUUUCAAAUACUACACUCAUGAUCUUAUUAUCCAUCAACUUUGUCUUGCUCACUAUGCUUAAGGUUAGAGAAGAACAAAUACACUUUUGGUUCUGUUGGUGUUUUCCACCAAUAGAGCCCAUGCACUUGAUCUCUGCCUUGUCUCUAUGAACAGGUACACUUCAAGCAAAAUAUGGAGGAGUUUUACAACUCCUAGACUCCACCAAGUGAAGGACCUGGAUCUAUGAGCACAAACACACUGAGCAGGAUAUUGCCAACACCAUACUUCGAACUGCUGGGCAAAGAAGAACAUGGGUGACACCGUAUCAAGAGGUGCAGACGUCAAGGUCCACACCUAAUCAAAUGAUGCACCUAAAGGAUGAAGAUGGUGGAAAGUCUUGUCCAGAAGACUUAAAACAUUGGAUCCUUGUCGGAAGAGGUCAACAUCGUCGACUCAAGUCACCUUUCUUGAUUAAGAAGGACGACCCUGGUGUUCCAAGCAGCGAAUGCGCAAUCAAUGGAUACUCUUUUGAGAAGACACUCUACGACACCGGAUCUGACGACAACAUAAUGGCCGCAGCCACUUAUCAGCUCCUGCAUCGAACCAUGCCCUUACAACCAAUAUAUUCAGCUCCAGAUGAUUUUCAGGUCAUUGACAUGGGAGAAGACGAGUACGAUCUACCUACCAUCCUUGGACGACCGUUCCUCAACACUAUCAAAGCAAUCAUCUACAUUGGAACCGGAGAAGUCCACAUGUACUUCCCCUCUGAGAAGGUACGCAACAAUUUUACUGACCAUAACUAUAUAGUUGAAGACUCUAAGUAGGUCAGGACAAGAAGACGACGCAACCGCAACCAGAGGAGGCAAAUCAUCAAGGACGGAUGGGUAGACUACGAAGGAGAAGUGAUAAGGUCUGAAGACAUAUAGCUUGAACAAAACUGUCCUGAGGAGACCGUAGCACCGAGUCAGGUGUGGAGAGAGAAGAUAGUUAUACACGAAGAGAGGCGCCGCCGGAAUCACCGACUACGCCACCUAGCGAAUCCCAGAAUGACUGAGAAAACAGAGAGUCCCGUUCGGAGGACAUAAAAAUACCGAACGCCUUGCCAAGAGGUAAACUUGGUAGUUACCCUUUCCUUUCAAUUAUUCAAUUAUAAUUUGCUUAGUUAAUCAGGUUCAUGCUAUCUUGAAAAGAAAAUAAAAAUGUUAAAAAAUAGUAAGCCCCAUGUGAGUAUGCUCAUGGCAUAAAACCCAUAAGUACAUUCACUGUGGUGGCAUAAAAAUAAAAUAAAUAAGUUUUCAUCUUACAAUAAAAAUAUAUAUAUAAAAUAUAUAUAUAUAAUAAUAAGUGUAUGAUCCUGCUAAAUAAAUAACAUUUAUUAAGGAAGCUCAACAUGAUGAAGGCUAGAUAUUUAUGCUAACACUUAAUUAGUUUCACAAGCUUUGUUGUCUAUUUGAGCUCCACAGAAUUUAAGAAUCAAGAAGACUAGCAGACGGAGGACAUUCUAAUCACUGUCAGAAUGCUGCUGACUUUCAAAUACACCUCUGCCACCUGCUAGCUACAUCAAGAGAAAUUACGUCAAAAUUCAGCUUGGGGGAGAGCACCCCCAUUAUUCUCGCUAAGUAUUUCUACCUAUCUUUAUACUUAUAUUAUGUUAGAAUAUUAAAAUACAUAAACUAUGAAAAACCAAAUAAAGAUUUUGUGUUUAUAUAUAUCUUUUGCUUAGUAUGUUUAAUAAAUAAAUAAAGUGGCUAUGCUAAUCUGAAUCUUAAUAAUAAAACUCUAGCAUGGAUAUGAUGAAUAGUUGCUCUGCCUAAUUUGCAAUUUUGAAGUUCCCUCUCAAGUUUAGACAUAACUGUUAUAAUUUAAAUCUUGCUCUAGACCUAAACUUGUGGGAUGAAAACUUGAUCUGAAAUCUAAGUUGUUAACGGAUAUGAUAUGGGAAGGUUGAGCUGCUGUUUAUCUGUUCCUAGAGAUGCUAGAAUUCUGGAGAAUUUUAUCUUUGAAAAAUCUUUAAAAUAUUGCAUGAUGAGUUCCUGUAUGAUGAGAGUUUAAAAUCCUACCACAUCCAUAUGUACAUGCUUAUUAGACUAUGAACCAUACAUUUACUUUUUACUGCUUAUGAGCAUUGAGUGUGGUCAAGCUGUGUAGACCCUUAGGAGCUUGUCAUGUGGUUAAAAUCAAGAUUCACUUGCACGUUCACUCAUACAUGCUACUUCUACUCCGGAAGUACCAUCCACAUACAUCCACUCAUUUCCAUCUCCAGAUUCACCCAAAAUUAUUCUACUCCUAAUCCGGGAGAGAAUAGUCAAAAAACAUUUUCCUAUCCCUGUUAUUCCCUGUGAAAUAAAUGCUCCAAAUAUUUUGGUUACUACCACUUGCUAUAUUAUCUCAAGAGAUGAGUGCUCUGAAAAAAAAAGAGAAAAGAGAAGAAAAGAAAAAAAUAUAUAAAUGAGGAAAUAAAAAGGGGCAAGUGCCCGGAACCUCGAAAGAAAGAAAAGUGAGACGAGAGGUAAAAAUGGACAAAUGUCCGACAGUAGAAUUAGGGGUACAAGAUACCCACCUGAAAAAAAAGAAGAAGAGCAUCUCAUUCUCCUCAUAAAGUUUCAAGAAGCAAGGAAGGUAUGUAUCCCCUCAAAAGAGCAAAAGUAGAAUUAGACUUUCACCAUUGUUAUUACCAUCAUCACCAUACACCAUUCAUUCGCCACACAUGCACAUCUUGAUUUGGCUUAUUGAUUUGUUUCUCUGGAUCCAUGGUUUGACUAUGCAAUAAAUGUCUUAUAAGUAUGUAUUAACUGUCUCCCACCUAUGAGCUCCAAAUAUCAAGCCUUAUUAGAGUAGGGUGAGAGAGAAGGCAAUGUCACUAUGCCUUAUACCACAAAUACCACAUAUCUUGAGAGAAGGCAUAUACCAUCAAUGCCUUGGUAAGGAUCCAGAAAUACCACAAAAGAGAGAUAUGAGAGAGUCAUACAAGGAAUCUCUGAGUUUUAUUUGAAAAUCUGCAAAAAAAACCCCAGAGCUAUAGCUGAUCAAGAAUAAGAGACAUGGUGUUGACACUAGCUAACACCACUUAGAUACUAGGUUGUCAUCCCUAGCAUGGCGCCAGAGUGUACAAAGGUAUUUAUAAAUGUAAAGGCUCUCUAGAAAAUAAUUUAUUCUAUCCGCAAGCGCACAGAUAAAACACCUCAUUGUAGCAUUUCACCAGGAUAAGUAUUCCAGGUAUCGUUAUUUAUAAUUUUGCUCAAGGGAUCUCAAGAAGAUGGAAUUAAAUCAUGGGACAAAAUCUAUCAAGGCAUAGACUAUAGAUAAACUUGCAAGAACAUGAUUACUAAUAAGAAACUCGUCACACAGUCACAUACUUUAGCAGGGGGUAAACCAUAAAGAUAAUGAUAAUGAAUUAUAAGUUCAUGGGUAGAUAGCACAGCGAUUAGAAAAUAGACUACUCCUCAUAUGUAGGUGAUGUCGGAUUAGCUAGAGAAUGGAUUCUAAGUUAUCUACUAACUACUAAGUCAUAAUCUACUCUAGUUAUCU